AGUCGAACGGCAGCACGGCUUCGGCCUGGUGGCGAGUGGCGAACGGGUGAGUAAUACAUCGGAACGUGCCCUGUAGUGGGGGAUAACUAGUCGAAAGAUUAGCUAAUACCGCAUACGACCUGAGGGUGAAAGCGGGGGACCGGUAACGGCCUCGCGCUACAGGAGCGGCCGAUGUCUGAUUAGCUAGUUGGUGGGGUAAAAGCCUACCAAGGCGACGAUCAGUAGCUGGUCUGAGAGGACGAUCAGCCACACUGGGACUGAGACACGGCCCAGACUCCUACGGGAGGCAGCAGUGGGGAAUAUUGGACAAUGGGCGCAAGCCUGAUCCAGCAAUGCCGCGUGUGUGAAGAAGGCCUUCGGGUUGUAAAGCACUUUUAUCAGGAGCGAAAUACCACGGGUUAAUACCCUAUGGGGCUGACGGUACCUGAGGAAUAAGCACCGGCUAACUUCGUGCCAGCAGCCGCGGUAAUACGAAGGGUGCAAGCGUUAAUCGGAAUUACUGGGCGUAAAGGGUGCGUAGGCGGUUGUUUAAGUCUGUCGUGAAAUCCCCGGGCUCAACCUGGGAAUGGCGAUGGAUACUGGGCAGCUAGAGUGUGUCAGAGGAU
rnacentral:rRNA from 1 species